rnacentral:sRNA from 1 species
GGACUGCGAUCUGACUGUGACAUCUGUCACCCCAUUGAUCACCAGGGUGAUCACCAGGGUUUAUUUGGCUGAUCUGGCUCGCUAGGCGGGUGUCCCCUUCCUCCCUCACCGCUCCAUGUGUGUCCCUCUCAAAGCUGCGUGCUCGGUUGAAGAGGACGGCCUUCCCCGAAUAGAGAUGGACUGGUCUUUGGUCGAGGGCAUACGAGUAGCUGCGCUCCCCUGCUAGACCCUCCAAACUAGAACCUCCUUCACUUAUUAUUUUAUUUACUAUCCAUACAUCAGAAACUGACAGCACUGCUACAAUAUCAACCUUUUUGAUUUCUAAGUCAGUUGGU